rnacentral:SRP_RNA from 1 species
ACUGGGUGUGGUGGUGUGUGCCUGUUGUCCCAGCUACUUGGGAGGCUGAGACAGGAGGAUCUUCUGAGCCCAGGAGGUCGGGGCUGUAAAGCAGUAUGUCAAUUGGGUUCAGCAUCAGUAUGAUGACCUCCUCGAAGAAAGGACCACCAUGUUGCCUAAGGAGGGGUGAACUGGCCCAGGUUGGAAACAGAGUAGGUCGAAACUCCCAUGCUGAUCAGUAGUGGGAUGGAGCCUGUGAAUAGCCGUUACACUCUGGCCUGGGCAAUGAAAAAAAUAUGUAUAUU